AGCCGAGAUCGUGCCAUUGGACUGCAGCCUGGAAAUAGAGCAAGACUCCGCCCCUAAAAAAAAAAAUUCAAACUAUGCAAAAGAGUACUUAGUGAAAUCUCCUUUCUACUCUUGAUUCCCAGCCACCCCAUUCCUCCAGCCCCAACCCUAGCCAGUUAACAUUGGUAGUGUGCAUUCUUCCAGAGUUGUUUCAAUUUAAUUUGUAUAAGUAUCUUUUUUAUCUUUUUUUUUUUUUUUUUUUUUUAGACACAGCCUCACUCUGUCCUCCAGUCUGGAGUAUAGUGGCACACUGCAUUCUUCACCUCCUGGGCUCAAGUGAUCCUCCUACCUCAGUCUCCUGAGCAGCUGGGACUACAGGCGCCCACCACCAUGCCCGACUAACUUUUUUCGUAUUUUUUUAGAGAUGGGGUUUCACCAUGUUGCCCAGGUUGGUCUGGAACUCCUGGGCUCAAGCAGUCCACCUUCCCUGACCUCCCAAAGUGUUGGGAUUACAGGCGUAAGCCACCACGCCUGGCUAAUUUUUGUAUUUUUAGUAGAGAUGGGGUUUCACCAAAUUGGCCAGGCUGGUCUCGACCUGCUGACCUUGUGAUCCGCCUGCCUUGGCCUCCCAAAGUGCUGGGAUUACAGACGUGAGCCACCGCGCCGGCCUGUAUAAGUAUCUUAUAAUCAUAUUGUAUCCCACUUUUUCCCACAAAUGAUACACACGUUACCUACAUCGUUCAGUGUUAUGUUUUCAGAUCUUGGAAGCUGUUUCGUUUCAGUACAUUUGAGCUUCCUGGGAUCUUUUCUGUGGCUACAUAAUUUUCCGUUGUAGAACUGUAUGUGAUUUAAUUAAACAGCCCCCUAUUGAUGGAC
rnacentral:lncRNA from 10 species